CUAGCGAGAACCGCACGCUUUUUACGUGGGCAAAAAUCGAAAAACGAAACGAAAAUACGGGCAUAUGGUGGAUUAAUCGACGUUGCCGCGGUUGAAGGGUCGUCCCGUGACGUACCUCGGGGUUGCCUAGUAGGGUGCCACCCGGAAAUAUCACCUGCGGUACUGCCACCAGCCUUUUUUUCCUAUCGGUACUCGGCUCGUACCGAAACCAGAUGCUUCACUUUUCCCAAAGUAGAGCCUGUAGAAAAUAGUAAAGCAAUUGAAACAUAACCUACGACAAACUGAAACCAGAAAACGAUACAUUCCUUCAAAGACUUGAGUUAUAUUUUUACUAACGAAUAUAUUUUACUGUGUGAUUGUCUGGCGAAGUCACACUAGUAAUCUAACAAAAACCUAAAAAAGCAAAUUAAUAGAAGUUUUAACGAAAACACUAAUACCUCCUCGUAUAAAGUAGUGUCAGUUAUAAUCUAGUGCGCGAUUAUUCGAUGUGUACACAGUGAUGUCGACGCAAAAUUACUACAAGGAAAAGCUAGGAUUCGAUCCUAGGGAGUCCAUUUACAACGACGGACCUCCGGAAAAGUACAGGAGGACCGAGGAGGUUCCUCAUGGGUACGAAGAGAACCUUACCAAAUUUAAAGAUGAGAGAGACGCAGUACAAAAGAAGACGUUCACGAAAUGGGUCAACAAACAUCUGAAAAAGGUAAG